rnacentral:rRNA from 1 species
UAGGGAAUAUUGGGCAAUGGGCGAGAGCCUGACCCAGCCAUGCCGCGUGCAGGAUGAAGGCGCUCAGCGUUGUAAACUGCUUUUAGCUGGGAAGAACGGCAGGUCUGCGGACUUGUGUGACGGUACCAGCGGAAUAAGCACCGGCUAACUCCGUGCCAGCAGCCGCGGUAAUACGGAGGGUGCGAGCGUUGUCCGGAUUUAUUGGGUUUAAAGGGUGCGUAGGUGGCCUGUUAAGUCUGGUUUGAAAGCUGGUCGCUCAACGAUCAGAUGUGGCUGGAAACUGACGGGCUUGAAUGCGGGAGCGGCUGCCGGAACGGGUCAUGUAGCGGUGAAAUGCAUAGAUAUGACCCAGAACACCGAUUGCGAAGGCAGGCAGCCAGGCCGUGAUUGACACUGAGGC